rnacentral:rRNA from 1 species
GAGUUUGAUCCUGGCUCAGAGCGAACGCUGGCGGCAGGCUUAACACAUGCAAGUCGAACGGGCGUAGCAAUACGUCAGUGGCAGACGGGUGAGUAACGCGUGGGAACGUACCUUUUGGUUCGGAACAACUGAGGGAAACUUCAGCUAAUACCGGAUAAGCCCUUACGGGGAAAGAUUUAUCGCCGAAAGAUCGGCCCGCGUCUGAUUAGCUAGUUGGUGAGGUAAGAGCUCACCAAGGCGACGAUCAGUAGCUGGUCUGAGAGGAUGAUCAGCCACAUUGGGACUGAGACACGGCCCAAACUCCUACGGGAGGCAGCAGUGGGGAAUAUUGGACAAUGGGCGCAAGCCUGAUCCAGCCAUGCCGCGUGAGUGAUGAAGGCCCUAGGGUUGUAAAGCUCUUUUGUGCGGGAAGAUAAUGACGGUACCGCAAGAAUAAGCCCCGGCUAACUUCGUGCCAGCAGCCGCGGUAAUACGAAGGGGGCUAGCGUUACUCGGAAUCACUGGGCGUAAAGGGUGCGUAGGCGGGUCUUUAAGUCAGGGGUGAAAUCCUGGAGCUCAACUCCAGAACUGCCUUUGAUACUGAGGAUCUUGAGUUCGGGAGAGGUGAGUGGAACUGCGAGUGUAGAGGUGAAAUUCGUAGAUAUUCGCAAGAACACCAGUGGCGAAGGCGGCUCACUGGCCCGAUACUGACGCUGAGGCACGAAAGCGUGGGGAGCAAACAGGAUUAGAUACCCCGGUAGUCCACGCCGUAAACGAUGAAUGCCAGCCGUUGGGGAGUUUACUCUUCAGUGGCGCAGCUAACGCUUUAAGCAUUCCGCCUGGGGAGUACGGUCGCAAGAUUAAAACUCAAAGGAAUUGACGGGGGCCCGCACAAGCGGUGGAGCAUGUGGUUUAAUUCGACGCAACGCGCAGAACCUUACCAGCCCUUGACAUGUCUAUGACCGGUACCAGAGAUGGAACCUCCCCUUCGGGGCAUAGAGCACAGGUGCUGCAUGGCUGUCGUCAGCUCGUGUCGUGAGAUGUUGGGUUAAGUCCCGCAACGAGCGCAACCCCCGUCCUUAGUUGCUACCAUUUAGUUGAGCACUCUAAGGAGACUGCCGGUGAUAAGCCGCGAGGAAGGUGGGGAUGACGUCAAGUCCUCAUGGCCCUUACGGGCUGGGCUACACACGUGCUACAAUGGCGGUGACAAUGGGACGCUAAGGAGCAAUCCUUCGCAAAUCUCAAAAAGCCGUCUCAGUUCGGAUUGGGCUCUGCAACUCGAGCCCAUGAAGUUGGAAUCGCUAGUAAUCGUGGAUCAGCAUGCCACGGUGAAUACGUUCCCGGGCCUUGUACACACCGCCCGUCACACCAUGGGAGUUGGUUUUACCUGAAGGUAGUGCGCUAACCCGCAAGGGGGGCAGCUAACCACGGUAGGGUCAGCGACUGGGGUGAAGUCGUAACAAGGU